GCGUGAGGGAAGACGGCCUUCGGGUUGUAAACCUCUUUCAGUAGGGACGAAGGCCGGCCGGUGAAUAGCCGUGUCGGUUGACGGUACCUUCAGAAGAAGCUCCGGCUAACUACGUGCCAGCAGCCGCGGUAAUACGUAGGGAGCAAGCGUUGUCCGGAAUCAUUGGGCGUAAAGCGCGCGUAGGCGGCCCGAUAAGUCCGUUGUGAAAGUCAAAGGCUCAACCUUUGAAUGCCGAUGGAUACUGUCGGGCUAGAGUCCGGAAGAGGCGAGUGGAAUUCCUGGUGUAGCGGUGGAAUGCGCAGAUAUCAGGAGGAACACCAAUAGCGAAGGCAGCUCGCUGGGACGGUACUGACGCUAAGGCGCGAAAGCGUGGGGAGCGAACAGGAUUAGAUACCCUGGUAGUCCACGCCGUAAACGAUGGGCACUAGGUGUGGGAGGUGUCGACUCCUCCCGUGCCGUCGCUAACGCACUAAGUGCCCCGCCUGGGGAGUACGGCCGCAAGGCUA
rnacentral:rRNA from 1 species